GGGGUUGUGGCUCAGGGAUGGAGCGCUCGUCUAGCAAAUGUGAGGCCCUGGGUUCAAUCCUCAGCACCACA
rnacentral:tRNA from 1 species